rnacentral:misc_RNA from 1 species
GUUCAGACUGCAAAACACCAUCAUCCUUCAAUUCUCUUCACAAAUCAAACUGAAUUUUUUUAAAAAAAAGGAAAGGGAAGGGGUAGCUGGUCCAUAUUAACCAUAUUGUUUCAACGGAAACAGAGAGAAGUGAAAAGGCUUAAAAGGAAAGAAAUCAUUAGCCUCAUAAGUCAUAACUGUUGGUUGAGAUAAUGGUCUGGAUCUGACUUCCCUCCACCACCCAAAUACCCUGCAACAGUUCCAAGAACAUUUGAAACAGUACCACUCAACCAGGAGGUACUUCGAGUUAAUAAGCCUGUCGGUGUCUGCCCCACCUCUUCAAGCAUAAUUUCUGGGUCUUCUGCCAAUAAUAUGUCAAGCCGCCGCUUAAUCAUAUAAGCCUUUACAGCUUCAACCCCCUCAACUACGACUUCCUUUGGAGGUAUCACAAGAGGAUUUUCAUCCAACUUAAGCACAGUUAGGUUGUCAAGCCGGCUAAUUGUGUCAGGCAGUUCAUGGAUCUGGUUGUUGCUCAGAUCAAGUUCCUUGAGAUUUAUCAAGUCACCAAUUGUGUCAGGAAGCUUAGUUAGGUCACUAAAAUUGUUGCUCAAGUUGACGAUCUCAAGAUUUGUCAAGUUCCCAAAUGAAAGUGGAAGCCCAUGUAGUUCAUUAAAGUGCACAUCUAGAAGGCGCAGGGACUUCAUCUCACCAAAGGAAGUGGGUAACGAGCGGAGCUUAUUAAAAGAAAGUGAAAGCCUUUGCAGAUUUACCAGUUCAUAGCCAAUAUUUGUUGGCAAAUAAGAAAGCUUGUUGAAGCCUGCAUCAAAUUCCACUAACGACCUGCAAUGACAAAUGCUAUCUGGCAAAGCGACAAGUUUGUUUCCAGAGACAUCUAAGAUCUUCAAAUUACACAACAGACCAAUGGAGUCUGGCAGCGAUUCCAAAAUAUUUGAAGAAAGGUGCAGCUCCUCAAGGUGUUCCAAGCUCGCAAUUGAAUCAGGAACCACCUUAAGCUGGUUGUUGGACAGAUUUAGCACUAUUAAGGAGUGAAUCUUCCCAAAAGCUUCAGGCAGCAUCCUCAGCUGCCUGCCUGACAAAUCAACCCUUUCCACACUCUUGCCUGAUGCCUCCUGCAAAAUCCUGAUCACUUCCUCAUUCACUUCCUCUUUCAACUCAGAACUCUUCUCACCAGAAGACUCUCCAAUUGAUUCCACAUCACCACCAGCAACAGCAGUCUCAUAUAUCUUCUCCAACCUCUGUUCCGCAUCCUUCAACAUCUUCUCAUAGGCCUCAUGCAAUUCAUCCAAAGCUAUCAACGCCUUAUACUCCUCUCUCUCCUUCUCCACACCCUUUCGACACUCAUCCUCUUUAAUCGCCAUGUCCAAUCUCCAAUCCUGCCUCUCCAUCUCCGGCGGACGUGGAGACAAGACAAUCUCCUCAAGACGCUUGGACAUAUCGGCAUCGAUCUCAGCUAACUUCACCCUGGCAGUAUCAACAAGCUCGUGAAAAGGCCGCUCACCCAGGGUUUUGAGCAUUGACCGGGUCUGUGACACGUCAGCAACGGCUGAUCGCAUAGCGCUGACAACCUUAGGGUCAGUGAGAUGAGGCAUACGCUCGGUAAUGUCGAAGUGUGGUUCUGGAGGAGGCUGAGGGUGGUUCUGUGGCUGUUCGAUGUCGAAUUCAUCGGCGGUGGCGGUGGUUCUACGGCCCAUACUGGGUAGCUUGGACAUGACGUAGGAGAGAAUUGGGAAUUUGGUAGGGUUCGGAUCCAUGACUACUGGAGAUUAUCAAGUGAAAUUGGGAAAAGCGGUUGAGUUUUGAAGAAGAGUGAGCUCUAGCUUUUUCGUCAGCCGGCCUGGCCUGCUCUUAUAGUUGACGAAAAAGCUAGAGC